rnacentral:lncRNA from 1 species
CCAUAUUGAAAAGCUUCCGGUUGGUUUGACAUGGGAUUAUGAGUGUGUUUUUACGUUUCUAGUAACAUAGUAAUAAGAUUUCUAUACUCAAACGGCUCCGAUUGAAGUGACUCGUACAGGAUUUCACGAGUGUUUUUGAAGUUCUGGUGACAAUAUCAAGACCAGGGUUAAAUAUACUAAUAGACCCUGAACAAGACUGCGUUGGUGUUUCCACGUCUCCAAUUUAUCAUAUUACUGGACUAAUCCACGAAACCGAGCCACAGAAGUAGGACUACGUUAUCAAAACUCUGUAGUCAGCAGCCCCUAAUGGUUCCCGUGAUCCGUGGCCUGCAAGACAGCCACGUCAGGAUAGAAUGACCCGGUAUAUUAAGACCAGCUGAUCUACUGAUAUGCUGCCGCCAUCAUCUCAAAGGCUCAAGAAACAGCAAUCUAGAUGAGGUUUGUGGACGUCCAGCAGCACACAUACUUUCAGAGAGACUUGUUGGAACUGCAAGACAAAGAAUAAGGGUGAGGAUGAAGGACACUAUAACAUUCACUGCACUGAAGGAGGAGGUGUAAGGAAACUGACUUCCUUGAAGAAGCUACAGCAAAACUGGUGUUUUCCUCAUGCCACCUCCUCCACCCUCUCAAUGUCUGAACAUUCACUGCAUUAUUGGUUUAAAAUUUCUUUUUUUGUGAAAGGUGACUCGAUCGCUCGUCCCGACAUCCUCUGGAGAGAGAAAAACAAAAAAGAAAAAAAAAAUGCAAACAAACGACAAUCAAUAUUUCACAUUAAUUCCUACAUCUAAAGGUGCGUCCACACGAUCGAACAAUGUUCGACGGACAAAAUUGUUACCAAUUACCAGUGGAAAGCAGAAAGGCUCGCUGAUGACGUCAGAAGCGAGCACCAAGUGGUGUACCGGACACUGUCCAUGUUCGCAACAUCGAAAGGUCAGACACUGUCUGGUGUGGAAGUAUACGAUAUACGAUGCUGCCAGGCACACGACAAACAAAGUCACUUGGUUACAGGAUUUUCAAAGUCCGUCAGUUCACUAGUUCUCAAUUGUCCUGUUAACAUGACCAGCAGUACCUCAGUCAAGGAGAAAAGUUGCCACUGGGACAGAAAAGAGACCCUGCUACUAAUAGAACUAUACCGGCAAAAUCUAUGCUUAUGGAAUGUCAAGGCUGAUGUGUACAAGGAUAGGAACAAACGUGUCGCGGCCACCAAUGAAAUAACGGCAGGACUUAAUAGAAGUGGAUUAUCUGCUACUACUUCUGAAGUGAAGAAAAAAAAUAGAAUCUAUCCGUAGUCAAUAUAGGAGAGAGCUACGAAAACUGGAAAAAUCAAAGAAGUCGGGGGCUGGUGCUGACGACAUUUACACCCCCAUAUUAUGACCUCUGCUUCCUCAACGAUGGCGACAGCAUGAGAGAAUCCGUUUCAAGUAUGGAUAGCCAAGUGUCUCAUGUGCCUGAAGAAGUGUCUGAUCAUGAGAUUUUCAAUAAAAUGAAGAUGGUUCUGUAACCAAUACAACACCAACGCCUGUCACACCUGUCCCAAGUACAUCGCAUGAUAAUGUACAACCUGCAACACCUGAGUCUUCACGCAUUCAGACUCAAACUACCCGAGGGAGAAAAAGGUCUUUACUCACUGACGAGAGGCAUGAGGGGCUUCAAGAAGCACUUCAUCAACUUAAAGAACUAUCUCGAUCGGAGAAGGAGGAUAGCGAUGAAGAAAGUGCUUUUGGUGAUGUUGUUACCAAUGAUUUACGAAAGAUGAAUGAAGAAAAUAGGAUCCAUGCACAGAAACUAAUUUCUGAGGUACUUUAUCUGGGAAAAUUAGGGAAGCUCACCUUUUCAUCCAAGGUUGUUGGCUAAUUAUGUACGACCAUAAUUUUGUCUGUAUUGAAAGUGGCAUCAAUAUGUUUACAAUAAAGCUGUGAAAGUAA